UUCUCAUGAUGAUGAUUUGAUAUAUUUAAAUUUUUUUUCUUUUGCCAAAGUUUUGCCCCCCAAUUUUUCUUUGUGAUUGAGUGCAAAUAAAACCUGUCAGAAUGUAAUAUGCUUUAAAAUGAUAAACAUUUUUUCAACCGAACACAAUACCCCUGAUACACCAUCAUAUAAAAUAUUCAGAGUCAAAUAUGAUUGUCGUCUCUUUUUGUCUAUUAUCAGAAACUGUAAAGACAACAACAAAGUACAGAAUGAAAAAGCUACAAAUUUUUUUUGUUGUUGCAAGAAGCAAGUGGUUUAUGAAUUUCAUAACCAUAUGAAAAAAAACAACACACACACACACACACACACAUAUAUUUAUCAAUUAAUGAAAAAAUUUUUAAUUGAAUUUUUUUUAAAUAUCUGUUCACACCAUUACCACCACCUGCAUAUAUUGUGUUGAUAUAUAUGAUGGUGGUGGUGGUGGUGGUCGAUAUAUGUUUUUAUUUUUCAAUUUUUUUUUCUUUAAAUUUUCAAA